CACCGCAGGCAGGAAGGGAAAAACGUCAAAGAUAGCUUACAAAAAAAAGAUGAUCACUCCUCGCACCUUUCGCGCACCGGAGUCACAACUGCUUCUCUUAAAGGAGCAGUAACAUAGCGUCAAUACAGCUAAGGACAAAAAGUAAAUAAAUAAAUAAAUAACCAGGGCCUUAUAAACCCGGGUUACACAACUAUCCACAUGCACACACAAUCUUAGUGUUUUUCAUUCUGCUGUCCUGUGGAUCUCUGCUCUACGUCCUCGCUACGUCUCUCUCGCUCAACAUCUACUCUCUGCACGCGCUCAACUCUGCCUUCACGCUCGCUCGACUCUGCACGGCGUUACAAACGUGCCACAAAACCAGCCAAUCACAGACUUCUGACUCUAUCCAAUCGGGUCCCUGUUUUGGCCGCCUCUCAGAAGCGCUGUUAAAAAUGAUCGCUAAAUCAACUGGAGUUCUGCUAUAUACGCUGGACUGCGACAGAUUUUCAGUGAGUAUUGUUUUAUUAUUGAAUUACAUUAAAUAAAGCACUAUUUUGUUUAGUGUGUUAAAGUACAGCUGUAAUGUUUUGGUACGGUUUUGCAGAAAGUCGGUCCUGCUUCCACAACAAAACGAGGGAUUUAGCAGAUGUGCUAGCUAAACAGCAUGACAGAUCCAAAUAAUGACAACCCAAAUACUCCGCCACCAUGUCAGGUCCUGGCUGAAACAUUCCCAAAAAUGGAAGAUCUUUAUGGGGGGGUGGCUCUUGCAUAAAGCAACAGGUGGCAGUGGUCGACAGAAGCUCACUGUAAUUCCACCAGAAGCAGAGGGUUGUUCUGUAAAAACUCUGAGAGCUCAGUCAGGAGGGGGUAAAGCCACUAUUUACAUAGUGCCACUACAGGAGACAUUAGACACCUCUCCUCUGCCUCCUGACUCGCAGCACUUUUCAAAGAUGCCAAAGAAGACAUGUUAGCAGUGUAAUGAAGUGAUGCCUCUGCAGAUGCUUGCAAUAAAGGAAAAUGACUUUCUGAUGAGAGUGAUGAAGAGCGUGGAAGAUCUAUUACACUUCCUUGAACAACAAGCUGACACCACAACAGAAUUUAAAUUGUGUGUGGACAGAGAAAGCCUUCCAGAGGUAUCCUCCAGUGGCAGAGGAACAAACUGCAUCUGACAUCAGUGCUCUCAAGGUGGUGUACAGAGGAGAGUCAUACAGGAGCACUGAAGAAAGAGUUUGUGACAGAUAUGAUAACAGGUAUCGAAAACAGAUUCUUUGAAGGACCUGGAAGUCAGGGUAAAAAUCCCAGGUACUCUCUGACAGACCUUGAUGAUGAAAACUUCAGAACUGUUGGUGAAAUAAUUGCAGUCAGCCUGGCCCAAGGUGGCCCAGCUCCUGCUUUUUUUUAGGACUGGUGCUACCGUUUCCUGUGCACAGGAGAGGUGGAUUUUAGUAGUUUAUCGAAGGAGGAUGUGGCUGACCAAGAAUCUUCCCUACUCAUCAGCAGAACUGAUUCCAAUGCUUCAACAAGUGAGAAAGGCCAUGGAACUGUAUGUUCUGCUCAGUCAGAGGGCUGCAAACCCUGAAGCUUUACACACUUUACUCAAAAUGCUGAUUUCAUAAUGAUGAACUGCCGACCACAGCUCAGUGAAAAGGGGACAUCUCAGGAGAGAACUGAGAGAUUAUAAACUUCAUGCAAGAUUUUUGCCAGGAGCUUGAAAUAUCAGUGCUGCAGUUGAGGAGCCACUCUCUUGGAGUUCAGCAUGAAGAGCCCACAUUCCCAUCCUCCCUGAUGAAAAGAGACAUUUCAAAAUAAUAUUCAUGUUUGACCACGACUGCAGGGAGC